UAUGGAUGGAGUCUGGCUGUGGAGAGGCACUUGCUUUGCUGCAAAGGGAAAUGGGAAGCCACUUGAUCUGCUGCUGCUCAAUUGCUGUGGGGGAAGGAGGAUUUUUUGCCAGAGGUGGGAGUCCUAGAAAAAGGCCGUAUCCCCAGGGAUGAAGGGUGUCUGAAGAGCAGCAUGGCCAGAGCGGCUGAAGAAGAGAUACUUCUUUCCUCUUGUGUUUAGCAGUGCUACUGCCACACUGAAUAAGACCUGAGAGAACGGAUUUCAACCUGUCUUCCUUCCUUUCUUUCUACAUUUUGGAGAAUGCCUGAUCUCACUGUGGGGAUCUAGACAGUGGAGCUCAGAGGAAGAUGCCCAGCUUCAUUCUCACAAUGUGCUUAUUUGGCCCUAAUGCCUCCUGCAGAUAUAGAUGCUUCAGCUUUCCUGCAUGGCUGCUGCAGGAAAUGCACCUGAGUGCAGGGCUACCUGUGAGCAGGAUGACUCAGGGUCUGGGAAAAGAGGCACAUCUUAAACUCAGCCUGGAACAGAGAAGCUGUGGAUACCCUCUCCAGGGAAGAGUUUAAGGACAGGAUGGAUGGAGCUCUGAGCAACCUGGUCUAGUGGAAAGGUGUCCCUGCCCACAGCAGGAGUGUUGGAACUAGAUGAUGUUUAGGGUCAUAUCCAGGUCAAACCAUUCUAUGGUUCUAUGAUAUUCUUAACCCCAUGCUGUGUCUCUUACCAGCAGCAAAGAGAUUAUUGAUGAGCUUCUCAGGGCUGAGCUGUAGAGCUGAAAUCAGUGACAGUUGCACGCCUAAACCUGCCAGCUGGCUUUGGGAAUGCCAGCUUCCCUCUGUUUACUGGAGAGCCCUGCUAUAAGAAGUUAUAAAGUAGCAGAGGAUGUCAUAGUAUUUAGUUGCUGCAGAAGAUAGAGAAUUAGGUGCUCUUUUUUUGCCAGAUUCCCCAGCUGUUGUAUACUGGAUGUUCUCUGCCAACAUCGUGUGUAGAACUACACCGAUUUGCUCCAGCUCAGGAUUUGACUCUAUGAGGCUGUAUCAGAGCAUGUGUCACUUUCCUUUGCAGGCAAGUGAAACAGCAAUGAAUAUAGAAAAAGAUCCUGCAGCUAGGGAAAUUUAAUAAAUAGAAG
rnacentral:lncRNA from 1 species